GACGAACGCUGGCGGCGUGCUUAACACAUGCAAGUCGAACGGUGAAGCACCUUCCUUUUGGUGGGUGUGGAUGAGUGGCGAACGGGUGAGUAACACGUGAGUAACCUGCCCCCUUCUUCUGGAUAACCGCAUGAAAGUGUGGCUAAUACGGGAUAUUCUGUGCCUGCUUCAUGGCGGGUGUGGGAAAGAUCCGCUUUUGGGUGUUUUUGGUGCGGGAUGGGCUCGCGGCCUAUCAGCUUGUUGGUGGGGCGAUGGCCUACCAAGGCGGUGACGGGUAGCCGGGCUGAGAGGGUGGACGGUCACGCUGGGACUGAGACACGGCCCAGAAACGGACGGGAGGAAGCAGUGGGGAGUAUUGCACAAUGGGCGCAAACCUGAUGAAGCGACGCGGCGUGAGGGAGGGUGGCGGUCGGGAUAUAAAGCUCUUUCGGCAGUGAAGCAGGCCUGUCCCUUGUGCGUGGGUUGACGGUAGCUGGAUAAGAAGCGCCGGCUAACUACGUG
rnacentral:rRNA from 1 species